rnacentral:sRNA from 1 species
AACCCCCAGCUAGGCUGGGGGUUCCGUAAAGCUUUCAGCUUUGAGUCGGAUCUUUUAAUGGUCAGUAACCCUUGUGGCCAGGCGGCAACAAAGCAUCCCCGGAA